CCAUUAAAGAGGACCAUCAUGUAGUGUGAGGAGUCAACAUUUCACACUAGAAAGCCCUUGGUUCAAGUUUUGUCUCUGCCACCUACAGAUUUUGUAACCCUGAGGAAACUAGCUACCUCUUUAUGUACUGCCCUAUGGAGAGGCACACAUGUCAAGAAACUGAGGGAGUGCCUUCCAGUCAACAGCCAGCCAGGAACUAAGGUGCUCAGUACAGCAGCCUCCACAAAGGACUGAACAAUGCCAACAGCUAUUUGACUGUGCUUGGAAGAUCUCCGUUUAGUUAACCCUUCAGAUGAGACCGCAGCCCUGGCCAGCAAACAAAUUGCAGCCUAUGGAAAGACCUUAAGGCAGAAGCACCCAACUGAACCACCCGAGGGCUCUGACUUACAGAAACUGUGAGCAGAUAGUGAAAUGGCCUCUACCUUAUUUUGAAUGGAUUUCUGGGAUAAAGUUCUUCAGUGAUAACAUGUUUGAAGAAAGCUGCAUUUCCUGAGGGGACACCAAUGGAUACACCUCUGCCUGGCACGCAGCUUAGAGGCUAAAUGUAUGAAAAGCAACACCAUGCAAAUCAUUUUGAAACUGCUGUGGAACUCUCACGGGACCCUCCAUUCUAGACAUCCAGUCCCACUAGUGAUCUGACCAUGAAACCUACUAAGAGACUUCCAGAAGAAGAUGACCUCUGAAAGGAGAAAACUUUCUUCCAAGCUUCUGUGGAACAAGAAGAUGCCAUCCCUUUGGUGGAGCCCAAAGGGAAACCAGGACACUGAAGGAAUUAACCAGAAAGAAAAGAAGAGAAGAAGGAGAAGAAAGAAGAAGAAGAAGAAGGAGAAGGAGAAGGAGACGAGGGAAGAGGGAGAAGAGAGAGAAGAGGGAGGAAAAGAAGAAGAAGAAGAAAUACCAUGCAACAUCUAAACUCCUGC
rnacentral:lncRNA from 1 species